GCGCCAGCGAUGGCCGGUUGCGAGGUGCUGCAUGGUUGUCGUCAGCUCGUGCCGUGAGGUGUCGGGCUAAGUCCCAUAACGAGCGCAACCCCUACUGCUAGUUGCCAGCGGGUCAUGCCGGGGACUCUAGCGGAACUGCCAGCGUAAGCUGCGAGGAAGUGGGGAUGACGUCAAAUCAGCACGGCCCUUACGUCCAGGGCUACACACGUGUUACAAUGGCCAGUACAGAGGGCAGCCACCCCGCGAGGGGGCGCUAAUCCUAAAAGCUGGUCCCAGUUCGGAUCGGAGUCUGCAACCCGACUCCGUGAAGCUGGAUUCGCUAGUAAUCGCGCAUCAGCCACGGCGCGGUGAAUACGUUCCCGGGCCUU
rnacentral:rRNA from 1 species